UACCGGACAUCUGUGAUCGUCAGA
rnacentral:miRNA from 1 species